GCUUGUCUCAAAGAUUAAGCCAUGCAUGUCUUAGUGUAAAUAACUCUUAUGAAACUGCGAAUGGCUCAUUAAAUCAGUUAUCAAAUACGUGAUGGUCGCCUACUACAUGGAUAACCGUAGUAAUUCUAGAGCUAAUACAUGCACAAAGGCCCACUCACGUGGGUUGUGAUUAUUAGAUGGAAACCAAUGCGGGGCAACCCGGAAUAUGGUGAAUCAUAAUAACUGUCGUAUCGAGCAAUCGAAGCGCCAUACAAGUUUCUGCCCUAUCAGCUUUGGAUGGUAGGGUAUUGGCCUACCAUGGCUUUAACGGGUAACGGAGAAUUAGGGUUCGAUUCCGGAGAGGGAGCCUGAGAAACGGCUACCACAUCCAAGGAAGGCAGCAGG
rnacentral:rRNA from 1 species